rnacentral:rRNA from 1 species
UACGAAGGGGGCUAGCGUUGCUCGGAAUCACUGGGCGGAAAGGGUGCGUAGGCGGGUCUUUAAGUCAGGGGUGAAAUCCUGGAGCUCAACUCCAGAACUGCCUUUGAUACUGAGGAUCUUGAGUCCGGGAGAGGUGAGUGGAACUGCGAGUGUAGAGGUGAAAUUCGUAGAUAUUCGCAAGAACACCAGUGGCGAAGGCGGCUCACUGGCCCGGUACUGACGCUGAGGCACGAAAGCGUGGGGAGCAAACAGG